CUUGAGAGAGACUACCUCUCCUCCUCGAUUCGUUUUUUACCGUUGCGUGCCUGAAAAUCGUGCCUUUUUAAACACUUUUUAUCGGGUCGUCGCUGCUAACAGACCUGCGCGAAGAAGUUCACGGAUUUUGCAGUGCAAAAUCUUCGAAGGCUGGAACUGCUGCUGCUCUCCGACUGAUUCUGCCUUGAGCCGCUCCUGUUGAGAAGGACUCGGGAGGACUUACUUACUGUCACGUCACGGCAGUGGGUCAACGUCCACCUGCGGUGAUGACUGCAUCCUUGCUGCGACUCCUCCUUCCUGCAGCGGACAGCGGCGUCGAGACGGCGCCUGUCCUCAAAACGACCAACAAACCUGGCCUGGUUCACCACGCGUCGACGGGGUCUGGCGUGGGGCGAUGAUGCUGUACCAGACAGCACGGCAUCUGGCACUGCAGCUGACGUCAUCAACUGCUGAUGUGGCGGCGUCCAGCCGCCCUGCCUCACGACUACGCGCGAGACGGCGUCGUGGCGUUUGCGGUGCUGAUUGCGUGGGGCGAGGUCACCACUUCCCACAAGGAAGCACUCGUCUAUUCCCAUCACUGUUAGGUACACAAUCGUUGCGAACCGCACUACGUCUAGCUCACUCUGGUGUAACCUUCGCACCUGACUUAAGUAUAGGUGUCCGGGUCUUAAUCGAUAACUUAAUCACUAUGUGCGUACUUGUACUCUUGCAAAUACAAGUGUCUGCAGGCAAUACAACUUGUGUACUUGUCGCGGAACACUAUGACGUCACCGUUAAAACAAAAAUAUCUUAAAUUAACCUUAAAAUUCCUAGCUUAACAUAUAACAUUCUCAUUAUUAACAUCAUUGUUAGAGAAAAAAAAAAAAAUAAA